GACGGAGGGUGCUAGCGUUGUUCGGAAUCAUUGGGCGUAACGGGCGCGUAGGUGGCGGGACAAGCGUGCGGUGAAAGCCUGGGGCUCAACCCCGGGUCGGCCGUGCGAACUGUUUUGCUUGAGCACUGUAGAGGCAGGCGGAAUUCCGGGUGCAGCGGUGGAAUGCGUAGAGAUCCGGAAGAACACCGGUGGCGAAGGCGGCCUGCUGGGCAGUAGCUGACACUGAGGCGCGACAGCGUGGGGAGCAAACAGG
rnacentral:rRNA from 1 species